CCUUGACAUGUCAGAAAGAUCGCAGAGAUGUGAUUGUGCCCGAAAGGGAAUCUGAACACAGGUGCUGCAUGGCUGUCGUCAGCUCGUGUCGUGAGAUGUUGGGUUAAGUCCCGCAACGAGCGCAACCCUUGCCAUUAAUUGCCAUCAUUCAGUUGGGCACUUUAAUGGGACUGCCGGUGAUAAACCGGAGGAGGGUGGGGAUGACGUCAAGUCCUCAUGGCCCUUAUGGGUAGGGCUUCACACGUAAUACAAUGGUCGGUACAGAGGGUCGCCAACCCGCGAGGGGGAGCCAAUCUCAGAAAGCCGAUCGUAGUCCGGAUUGUUCUCUGCAACUCGAGAGCAUGAAGUCGGAAUCGCUAGUAAUCGCGGAUCAGCAUGUCGCGGUGAAUACGUUCCCGGGUCUUGUACACACCGCCCGUCACACCAUGGGAGCGGGUUCUGCCAGAAGUAGUUAGUCUAACCGCAAGGAGGGCGAUUACCACGGCAGGGUUCGUGACUGGGGUG
rnacentral:rRNA from 1 species